rnacentral:rRNA from 1 species
CCUACGGGGGGCAGCAGUGAGGAAUAUUGGUCAAUGGGCGAAAGCCUGAACCAGCCAAGUCGCGUGAGGGAUGAAGGAUCUAUGGUUUGUAAACUUCUUUUAUAUGGGAAUAAAGUGAGGAACGUGUUCCUUUUUGUAUGUACCAUAUGAAUAAGCAUCGGCUAACUCCGUGCCAGCAGCCGCGGUAAUACGGAGGAUACGAGCGUUAUCCGGAUUUAUUGGGUUUAAAGGGUGCGUAGGUGGUUAAUUAAGUCAGCGGUGAAAGUUUGUGGCUCAACCAUAAAAUUGCCGUUGAAACUGGUGGACUCGAGUACAUAUGAGGUAGGCGGAAUGCGUGGUGUAGCGGUGAAAUGCAUAGAUAUCACGUAGAACUCCGAUUGCGAAGGCAGCUUACCAAACUAUAACUGACACUGAAGCACGAAAGCGUGGGGAUCAAACAGGAUUAGAUACCCGUGUAGUC